GAUGAACGCUGGCGGCGUGCUUAACACAUGCAAGUCGAGCGAGAAACUACAUGCAGACACUUCGGUAGAAGCGAGUAGCGGAAAGCGGCGGACGGGUGAGUAACGCGUAGGCAACCUGCCCUUCACAGAGGUAUAGCCUCGGGAAACCGGGAUUAAAACCACAUAAAAUCAUAGGUUCGCAUGAACCAAAGGUCAAAGAUUUAUCGGUGAAGGAUGGGCCUGCGUCUGAUUAGCUGGUUGGUAGGGUAAAAGCCUACCAAGGCGACGAUCAGUAGCCGACCUGAGAGGGUGAUCGGCCACAUUGGAACUGAGACACGGUCCAAACUCCUACGGGAGGCAGCAGUGGGGGAUAUUGCACAAUGGGGGAAACCCUGAUGCAGCAACGCCGCGUGCGGUAUGAAGGCCUUUGGGUUGUAAGCCUCUGUCCUAGGGGAAGAAAAAAAUGACGGUACCCGAGGAGGAAGC
rnacentral:rRNA from 1 species